CGUACACUCCUGCGGGAGGCAGCAGUGGGGAAUAUUGGACAAUGGGCGCAAGCCUGAUCCAGCCAUGCCGCGUGAGUGAUGAAGGCCCUAGGGUUGUAAAGCUCUUUCACCGGUGAAGAUAAUGACGGUAACCGGAGAAGAAGCCCCGGCUAACUUCGUGCCAGCAGCCGCGGUAAUACGAAGGGGGCUAGCGUUGUUCGGAUUUACUGGGCGUAAAGCGCACGUAGGCGGACUAUUAAGUCAGGGGUGAAAUCCCGGGGCUCAACCCCGGAACGGCCUUUGAUACUGGUAGUCUUGAGUUCGAGAGAGGUGAGUGGAAUUCCGAGUGUAGAGGUGAAAUUCGUAGAUAUUCGGAGGAACACCAGUGGCGAAGGCGGCUCACUGGCUCGAUACUGACGCUGAGGUGCGAAAGCGUGGGGAGCAAACAGGAUUAGAAACCCCUGUAGUCCCAUG
rnacentral:rRNA from 1 species